rnacentral:rRNA from 1 species
UUCCUGAUGAACCUAUUUCAGGUAGUCCCUGCCCAAUGACAUUUAAAUGGCCGCUUAUGUGCUAAGGUAGCAAAAUCAAUUGCCACUUAAUUAGUGGCUAGAAUGAAUGGGUUAACCAAGGAGAACUGUUUCUUUUGAGCAUCUAAAACUUAACCUUCAAGUGAAAAGGCUUGAAUUUCAUUAAAAGACGAUAAGACCCUGUCGCGCUUAAUUUAUAACUAUCUAAUCACUUAGUAAAAAAUUUAGUUGGGACGACUUCUGACACCACGCACCGCCAGAUCUCUCACCGAGCUAGGCCUCUCUCCACUGACCCUUUAAAGAACAUGCAAAAAGCAACCGCAGGGAUAACAGGCUAAUUUUUUCACUAGAGCCCAAAUCGACUGAAAAGAUUGGCACCUCGAUGUUGGCUUAGGAACCCUACCAGAUGCAGCAAUCUGGAGAAGAGGUUUGUUCAACCUAUAAUCUCCU